rnacentral:tRNA from 1 species
GCGAACGUAGUUCAGUGGUAGAACACCACCUUGCCAAGGUGGGGGUCGCGGGCUCGAAUCCCGUCGUUCGCU